rnacentral:rRNA from 1 species
GACGAACGCUGGCGGCGUGCUUAACACAUGCAAGUCGAACGGGUCUGCCCUGUUUUUUGCGGGGUGGGUCAGUGGCGAACGGGUGAGUAACACGUGAGUAACCUGCCCCUCACUUCUGGAUAACCGCUUGAAAGGGUGGCUAAUACGGGGUGUUCUGGCUGUGCCGCAUGGUGUGGCUGGGAAAGAUUCACUUUUGUGGUGUUUUGGUGGGGGAUGGGCUCGCGGCCUAUCAGCUUGUUGGUGGGGUGAUGGCCUGCCAAGGCUUUGACGGGUAGCCGGCCUGGGAGGGUGGGCGGUCACACUGGGACUGAGAUACGGCCCAGACUCCUGCGGGAGGCAGCAGUGGGGGGUAUUGCACAAUGGGCGGAAGCCUGAUGCAGCGACGUCGCGUGAGGGAUGGAGGCCUUCGGGUUGUGAACCUCUUUCGCCGGUGAAGAAGGUCCUGCUCUUUGGGGUGGGGUUGACGGUAGCCGGGUUAUGAAGCGCCGGCUAACUACGUG